UCCAGUUGUCCUCGGAACUCGGAAAUUCCGACUUCCCACUGACAAAAGUCAACUCUGAAGUCGAAACUGAGAGCAACUUUGAGUACCCCCAGUGACGACUCAUGAGGCCCGUUUCGCGUUUCAAUAUGGCCGCUCCUCGAUUAAAGAGCUGUAAAUAUUCAAAAGCAUCUCAGUUCCCAAUUCUUAACUAGAACGCCGUUCCUUCGGGUUUAACUUCCCACGCAACUGGAACGCAGCAUGCGAAGGUCAGGGGUCAGCGCGUACCCUCGUCGCUGGUCUGGGUCUCGGUACCGGCGUCCGGCUCGGUCUCCUCCAAGGCCCCAGGCUCGCUGAACGGACUCUCGCUGCAAGGAGGUGAAGAGGAGAGAGGAUCAGGCAGCGAAGCAGGCGGACAAACCGUCCAUUCAGCGCGGGAACAAAGGCAGGAGGACGGAGCACAGCAGGGGGCGAGGCGCUCCACACAACCCGACAGGAUUUACUCAGGCUGGUGACCUCUCACCUCUCUCGAAGCAGUUCUUGAUGUCGUUGACCUCGACCUGUGAGCCUGAAACCCGGAAGAUGCCCUGAUGCUGAAGACCUGAGAAAAACAUCUGGGUUUGACUGGAAGCUGCAUGACACAUAUGACAACAAGCAAAAUCCGACCGACCCCUGACCCCCGGUGUGUACCUGGUGCUUGCUAUGGAGUUCUUCCGCCCACGACUACAAUGAGCAGCAAAAGGAGGAAGAAAUGAAGAGACAGGAGUUUCUCAGAGUUCACAGUAAAGUGGCGAAAGAAGCAAGAUUGGUUAUCAGUCUGAAGAGAAAAUGAGCAUGAAAUGAGAAAAAGCCUCACCUGGUCGUCAGUAAUUCAGAUUUAUAUCCUGCAACAGGAAGAACGGAAAACAUUUAAAAUUUAAAUCCUGCCGAUUAUGGUCUGUAAGCCCUGAAAGAUGUCGUUCUUACCCUCAGCUAAGGCUUUCUUUAAUGUGUCAUGUUUGGCCUGGAGUUUUGAGAUGAGAUUGCUUCCCUCUAAAUACUCGCGAAACUUCUGAGGAUGGAAAAACAGACAGUUUUAUUGAUCCCAGAGAAAUCUGCAGAGUUUCUGCUGAAAUAAAACAGUCUCAGAAUUGUGACUUUGGCCGUCAAAUAAUCUCUGAAAUCCAACAUGUUCCUCCAGCAAGUUCUCCUGCUACUCAACGCUCAUCUGUGUUCUUGCAGCACAUUAAGUGAAUGUAAAUGAGAUGCAGAGUCUUCGCUUCGCUUCGCUGCCGGUCCUCACAUUGAAAUAGAAAAGCUCCGUCUCCUGC